UACGUAGGGGCCUAGCGUUGUCCGGAUUUAUUGGGCGUAAAGAGCGUGUAGGCGGCCUGAAAGGUCAGCUGUGAAAACUCGGGGCUCAACCCCGAGACGUCGGUUGAAACCAUCUGGCUAGAGUCCGGAAGAGGAGUGUGGAAUUCCCGGUGUAGCGGUGAAAUGCACAGAUAUCGGGAAGAACACCCGUGGCGAAGGCGGCACUCUGGGACGGUACUGACGCUGAGACGCGAAAGCGUGGGGAGCGAACAGG
rnacentral:rRNA from 1 species